GCCAGGCAUGGUGGCACAUGCCUAUAAUCCCAGCAACUUGGGAGGCUGAGACAGGAGGAUCAUGAGUUCAAAGCCAGCCUCAGCAAUAAUGAGACCCUGUCUCAA
rnacentral:sRNA from 1 species